rnacentral:rRNA from 1 species
GAUGAACGCUGGCGGCAUGCCUAACACAUGCAAGUCGAUCGGUAAGGCUCUUCGGAGUACCCGAGAGGCGGACGGCUGAGUAACGCGUAGGAACACACCCUGCAGUGAGGGAUAAGACACCGAAAGGUGUUCUAAUACCGCAUACGGUCUUCGGAUUAAAGCAUUUAUGCGCUGAAGGAGUGGCCUGCGUCAUAUUAGAUAGUUGGUGAGGUAAUGGCUCACCAAGUCGAUGAUGUGUAGCUGGUCUGAGAGGAUGAUCAGCCAGACUGGAACUGAGACACGGUCCAGACUCCUACGGGAGGCAGCAGUGAGGAAUAUUUCACAAUGAGCGAAAGCUUGAUGGAGCAAUGCCGCGUGCAGGAUGAAGGCCCUCGGGUUGUAAACUGCUUUUAUAAGAGAAGAUUAUGACGGUAACUUAUGAAUAAGAGACGGCUAACUACGUG